AGAGUUUGAUCAUGGCUCAGAUUGAACGCUGGCGGCAGGCCUAACACAUGCAAGUCGAACGGUAACAGGAAGCAGCUUGCUGCUUGGCUGACGAGUGGCGGACGGGUGAGUAAUGUCUGGGAAACUGCCUGAUGGAGGGGGAUAACUACUGGAAACGGUGGCUAAUACCGCAUAACGUCGCAAGACCAAAGAGGGGGACCUUCGGGCCUCUUGCCAUCAGAUGUGCCCAGAUGGGAUUAGCUUGUUGGUGAGGUAACGGCUCACCAAGGCGACGAUCCCUAGCUGGUCUGAGAGGAUGACCAGCCACACUGGAACUGAGACACGGUCCAGACUCCUACGGGAGGCAGCAGUGGGGAAUAUUGCACAAUGGGCGCAAGCCUGAUGCAGCCAUGCCGCGUGUAUGAAGAAGGCCUUCGGGUUGUAAAGUACUUUCAGCGGGGAGGAAGGUGUUGUGGUUAAUAACCGCAGCAAUUGACGUUACCCGCAGAAGAAGCACCGGCUAACUCCGUGCCAGCAGCCGCGGUAAUACGGAGGGUGCAAGCGUUAAUCGGAAUUACUGGGCGUAAAGCGCACGCAGGCGGUCUGUCAAGUCGGAUGUGAAAUCCCCGGGCUCAACCUGGGAACUGCAUUCGAAACUGGCAGGCUUGAGUCUUGUAGAGGGGGGUAGAAUUCCAGGUGUAGCGGUGAAAUGCGUAGAGAUCUGGAGGAAUACCGGUGGCGAAGGCGGCCCCCUGGACAAAGACUGACGCUCAGGUGCGAAAGCGUGGGGAGCAAACAGGAUUAGAUACCCUGGUAGUCCACGCCGUAAACGAUGUCUACUUGGAGGUUGUGCCCUUGAGGCGUGGCUUCCGGAGCUAACGCGUUAAGUAGACCGCCUGGGGAGUACGGCCGCAAGGUUAAAACUCAAAUGAAUUGACGGGGGCCCGCACAAGCGGUGGAGCAUGUGGUUUAAUUCGAUGCAACGCGAAGAACCUUACCUGGUCUUGACAUCCACAGAAGAAUCCAGAGAUGGAUUUGUGCCUUCGGGAACUGUGAGACAGGUGCUGCAUGGCUGUCGUCAGCUCGUGUUGUGAAAUGUUGGGUUAAGUCCCGCAACGAGCGCAACCCUUAUCCUUUGUUGCCAGCGGUCCGGCCGGGAACUCAAAGGAGACUGCCAGUGAUAAACUGGAGGAAGGUGGGGAUGACGUCAAGUCAUCAUGGCCCUUACGACCAGGGCUACACACGUGCUACAAUGGCGCAUACAAAGAGAAGCGACCUCGCGAGAGCAAGCGGACCUCAUAAAGUGCGUCGUAGUCCGGAUUGGAGUCUGCAACUCGACUCCAUGAAGUCGGAAUCGCUAGUAAUCGUGGAUCAGAAUGCCACGGUGAAUACGUUCCCGGGCCUUGUACACACCGCCCGUCACACCAUGGGAGUGGGUUGCAAAAGAAGUAGGUAGCUUAACCUUCGGGAGGGCGCUUACCACUUUGUGAUUCAUGACUGGGGUGAAGUCGUAACAAGGUAACCGUAGGGGAACCUGCGGUUG
rnacentral:rRNA from 1 species